UGCCAGCAGCCGCGGUAACACGUAGGGACCAAGCGUUGUCCGGAUUUAUUGGGCGUAAAGAGCUCGUAGGCUGUUGCGUAAGUCGGAUGUGAAAACUCAGGGCUCAACCCUGAGACGCCAUCUGAUACUGCGCUGACUAGAGUCCGGUAGGGGAGCAUGGAAUUCCUGGUGUAGCGGUGAAAUGCGCAGAUAUCAGGAGGAACACCAGUGGCGAAGGCGGCUUUCUGGACCGAUACUGACGCUGAGACGCGAAAGCGUGGGGAGCAAACAGGAUUAGAUA
rnacentral:rRNA from 1 species